GACGAACGCUGGCGGCGUGCCUAAUACAUGCAAGUAGAACGCAGUUGCGAACGGGUGCGUAACGCGUAGGUAACUGCCUGGUAGCGGGGGAUAACUAUUGGAAACGAUCGCUAAUACCGCAUACUACCAGAUGGACCUGCGUUGUAUUAGCUAGUUGGUGGGGUAAAGGCUAACCAAGGCAACGAUACAUAGCCGACCUGAGUGGGUGAUCGGCCACACGGGGACUGAGACACGGCCCAGACUCCGACGGGAGGCAGCAGUAGGGAAUCUUCGGAAAUGGACGGAAGUCUGACCGAGCAACGCAGCGUGAGUGAAGAAGGUUUUCGGAGCGUAAUGCUCUGUUGUAAGAGAAGCGGUAUCUGACCAGAAAGGGACGGCUAACUACGUGCCAGCAGCCGCGGUAAUUC
rnacentral:rRNA from 1 species